ACCCUCUCAGGGUCACACCUGGAGAGUUUCCAGUACUCUAUCAGUCUCGACUACAGGAGGGAAAGUCAGCAGAGGCCUACCCAUUCCAUUCCAAGCUUGGCCAGUGGCUAGUGGGUGGAAGGCAAUCUGCAAUAAGU
rnacentral:snoRNA from 2 species